UGUUAGAAACAAAGAAGCUUCAAGAAAAGGUAAUAUAACAAACAGAAAAAACCAAGCCAGGUGCAGAGGUCUGCUCCUGGUAAAAACACCUCACAAAAGCACUUAGCUCUUUUGUUCUCUUAUUUUUCUACCUGAUGGGCCAGGCAGGACUUUUUGGCUUCUAUCCAAUUAGAUGUCCUCAGGUUUUUGGUGAAGUCCCUGAGGUCCUAUGAGGUGGCUUUUCACCUGAUCGUUGAGAGAAACUUCUGGGCUUCUUUCCUUUUUUGGGGAACAAAGGCUAGUUUUUCCACUCUGUCCUUAGGAGGCACAGUCCUGCGGUAUGUGAAAGAUUGGCAGCCACCCCACUCAUGAAACUUCCUCUCCAUUGUUGUUUACAGACCAUCAAGGAAGAUGUGCAGGCAGAGCUGCAGGAGUCUGAGGCUAGGAACAAGGCAAGGGAGAAGAGGCUGGAGGAAGAAAUGAAAAUCAUCAGAGAGAAACUUAACUGCCUCCCUUGGGCUCUACAAAAGCAAGUGCAAGUGUCGACAUCUCACCUGGCAGCCUGCAAAGACUUCCAGCAAACAACUGGCAAUGAAGGGCCCCAAGGUUGGCGUGAGGCACAGGAACUGUCCCCACCAGAAGUGCGACAGGUUCAGGACACCAUGGGCUCUGGCAUUAGACCUGCUGCCGCAGCAGCAUUUCCUCGAGGAAGAUAUACUGUUGAAUCUGGGAAGUCAAGCUCGGACAGUUGGUUCAUCACCAGUUCUGGCAGCAGCAUGGCUGCUCCAAAAUGGGAGACUGAGGAGAAAUAUCUGGAGAUACUGGAGGGAAUGGUGAACGUGGAAAAUCCCGCAAUGAAAUACACGGAACUGGAACAUUUUGGCAGCGGGUGGCUAUAAAGAAAAUAAAGCUUCAAGGACUGAAAAGGAAGCAUCUGACCCUUAAUGAAAUCAUGAUCAUGAAGACACAUAGGAGUCCCAGUGUUGUGAAUUAUUUAAACAGCUACCUUCCGGGUGAGGAACUCUGGCUGGUUAUGGAGUACAUGGACGGAGGCGCCCUGAGUGAUGUCAUCAGCAAGAGCUGCCUGUCUGAAGAGGAGAUGGCAGCCGUGAGUCGGGAGUGCCUGCGAGGACUGGAUUUUCUUCACUCCAACCACGUGAUCCACCAAGAUCUGAAGAGCAGCAACAUCCUUCUCAGAACCGACGGCUCUGUCAAGCUGGGUGAUUUUGACCUCUCUACUCAACUCACCCCUGAGAAGAAUAGACGGAGCUCGUUAGCAGGGCCUGCUUGAUGGAUGGCACCUGAAGUGGUGACACGUGAACCAUAUGGCCCCAAAGUGGAGAUAUGGUCUUUUGGUAUUGUGGGAAUUGAAAUGAUGGAACAAGAACCUCCUUACUGGAACUGAAGUCCUGCCUCAGUUAAACACCUGAUAGCCUCAAUAGGGACCCCACAGCUGCUGCAUCCCAAACUCCUCUCGGCUUGGCUGCGUGACUUCCUGAGCUGCUGCCUGCAGACAGACGAGGAGCAGCGCUGGUCUGCCAAGGAUCUCCUGCAGCAUCCAUUUGUAAGAUUUGCUGAGCCUGUGUCCAGCCUGGUGCCACUGAUUGCUUCAGUGAAGAAGAGGAAGGACCAAAGAAACUGAAAAUCACAUCAGGACUGUUUACUUCUCAACCGGCACAGGGCAGGAUUGUAGGUUCGGACAAGGGUUAGGGUCAGGGUCAGGGUUAGGGUUCAGACUAGAGUUAGGACUAGGGUUGGGACUAGGAUUAACGUUAGGGUUAGGGUUUAGGAGUAGGGUUAGGGUUCGGUUAUGAUUGUCUAAUAGGCCUGCUGAGUAGGAUUAGAAAUUAAUAAAGUUUCUGAAACCAAAACUCUCCCUGAAAUUUCCUUCCUUCUCACUCUG